UGCUGAAUACAACCCUAAAAAUAGACCAUCCAUGAGCACAGUGGUGAAGAUGCUUGAGGGUGAAAUAAAACCUAGGAAACCUGUUGACCCUUUUCCAUUUUAUGACUCUUCAAGUGACAGUAGGACAACAUGGGAAUCCAGGAACUAGGUUAUAUUGUCGGCUUGCAGCCACCCCCAUGGUGUUUGUCCCCCUUCUGAUGAAUGGUAUGUUCUAGCUGUGAGAUUUGAUCUUUUGAAAUCAAAUGUUGGUUGCACUUUGCAAUUUGCAUGUAAGCCACAGUAAAUGUAUGAAAAAAAUUAAGUUCAACUAAUAUUUUGUGUACUUAUUCUUUUUGCUGAAAAUUUUUUUUUAUUAAAAUUACUGAAUUCUGAGUUAAAAAACUACAAAUAGUGAAAAAGGUUAACUGAAGUAGACUGUGAGUACAAGCUAGGCUUAUCGGGGAUAGUCGGUCUGCUGUGGAAUAUCAAGACUAUAAUAUCAUAAAACUGCUGACUGAUGUGGGAGAUCCAUACUCGGGUUACAUUCCAUAUUCAAUUGCCAUGGAUCUGUUUGAUCACCUAAAGAAUGGCGAUGCAGAUUUUAUCAAGACGGUUGGACAAGAAGUGCACCUGAAUUCUAGAAACAAAGAAAGAGUGUCAGUUCUUUGUAUAGCUACAAGAAACUAUGUUGCAAAGAGAUGCUCAAAAGAUGCCCCUCACUUCUCCAUUAUCAAAACAAUUCCAAAGAGACUAGUCUCCAUUAUCAAAACUGUACAGUAUACUGUACUUCAUCGUGCAGAUUGGUUGAUUUUUUUUCUUAGUGUUGGUCUUCAUGCAACAACAAAUGAAAUCUGCAUCGAAAGCAAUGGAGAAACUAUAUUAUCUUUCGAGGAAUGGAUCAACUUGCAAAAUGAAAGUGCAGAUACAGCUUUAACCCUCGCAGCCUACUAUGACCAUCGUCAAUUGGUUAAAAGGUUCAUUGAAGUAGACCGUGAGUACAAACUAGGCUUGUUGGGAAUAGUUGGUUACAAGGGUAUGAUGGCUUUGCAAAUGGCUGUGGAAAUUGAAGACAAUGAGAUGAUAAAACUGCUGACAAACGAGGAAGAUCCUUAGUCUGAUGACAUUCCACAUUCAACUGCCAUGGAUCUGUUUGAUCAUGUAUAGAAUGGAAAAUUUGUCUUAUGUACUCCUGAAGUCCAGGGACAAUGAAAGAUGGUCAGUUGUUUUUAUAUCUACAAGAUACAAUCAAUUCGGUUGCUACGAAGCAAAAGGUGCCCUUCACUUCUCUACCAUCAAAACAUUUCCAAAGACACUGUCCUUCAUCAUGCUACAUAUUAUAGGAAUGGAAUUUACAGAUUGGUCGAUUUAUUUAUUCGUGUUGGUAUUGAUGCGGCAACAAUUGAAGGCAACCAUGAUGGUAAGCAAAGCAGAAAAUAUGCAACGUUUCAAACAGUGGAUCAAAUUGCAGAAGGGAAAAUUGGUCAAAACCCCCCCAAGUUUUGAUCGGGUUUUGCGAGAACCCCCUAAUAUUGUCCAAGCUUGGCGUAAACUCCCUUCUGUUAAGCCCCCUAAGUUCCAUCCAUUCAUAGUUUGUCUGUCCAUUAUACCCUUAAUUCAAACAGUUUGUCUACACCCCCGAAAAAAAAAUCAUUAACAAAACUUAUUUGACAGAAGUUAAGUAGCCGUUUGGAUUACGUAUUUGCCUAAACCCCCCGACAAUUUUUAAAUUUAAACAAAAAAUUAAAAACUUUUUACCAAAGUGAAAGAACACGUGGCAGCAUUUCAUUGGUCAUCAUUUCGACCGUUGAAGUUGUUUGCUUCAAAAACCAUCCACCUCCAUUAUUUUCCAUCAAGGUUGACCCUUUCCUUUGAAAUGGUCUUGGAACACGACCAAAACAAUUUUAAAACAACUCCCACCAAAAUAUGGGACGGCAAAGAAAUUAAUUUCCAUUGCUUGGAAUCUGAUUUCAAGAAAUCUGGUUCAAACAAAUUUUAUUAAGAAACAUACUGUAUUUAUAAAUCUAAUCUAAUCUAUUGUAUAUGGAUUCACAUAAGCUGUGUUGUCACUGUAUUGAAAUCUAUUGAAAGUUUGAGAAGUUUAGUUGUCAAGGACCAAGGUAGGUGUAAACUGUAAAGGGAGAAAAACUUCCGUCCAUAAUGCUUAGAACCAAACCCUAUCCAAAGCAUCUAUCCACCAUACAUUAAAAAGGUCUAUGCAAAUCUUGAGGCAAACAAGGUUUGCAUAGAUGGACCAUCAUUAUAAUAAACCUCGAGAUUUUUCACCCGGCAUAUAAACCAUGUUAAUAAUAGUGGAUGAAUGCUUUAGACAAUAUUUCGGUCCUAAGAGCUAUAGACCAAAGAGUUUUUCUCGUGUAAAGGUUCUUCCAACGGACACGCGUGUCUUUGACAACCCAGAUAGACAAACAGCAUUUUGAAAAAUGAAAACAGCACAGCACUUCAUAAUUCUACAUGCCAUAGCUGGAUGUUUGUUAGGUAUGUAUGGAAUCUCAUGUUGAAAUGUCAAGCAAGAACAAAUUGAUAAUAUAUAUAGUCUGGUAACAUGGAAAGAUACCUCUAUAUGCUUUGAAGACUUCGGAAAGAAAAAAAAUUACAAAAUUGCAAUGAUUCACACUAACCAAAACACUCCAGGUUCUGGAAUAAAAAACAAUGCUCAUAAAGUCAGAAAUGGUAACCAGAACACUCCAGGUUCUGAAAAAAAAAAAAACAAUGCUCAUAAAGUCAGAAAUGGCGUAUGUUCUGUCCAUUGUCCCCUUUCUAAGUGUUUGUUAUUUAGCAAAGAAGACGACAUUAUAACUACUUGUCAAUAUAAAAUGUACAUACAUGGAAAGGUGAUACAAGAAGAAGAAAUUCACCUUGAGAGUUUCUAGCAGAAAGAGAAUUCAUAAGGAAUUAACGAAUUACGACCUGUGGAUCUAAAGCCAUGGAUCUGUUUGAUCAUUUAAAGAAAGGUGAUCUAGAUUAUAUCAAGACAGUUACAGCAGAUGUACUCCUCAAAGCUAGAAAUGAAAAGGGCAUAUCAGUUCUGUCAGCAGCAACAAUACACGACGAAUUAGAUUGUUGCAAAGAGAUACUCAAAAAAUGCCCUUCACUUCUCUACCAUCAAGAAGAUUCCGAUUCUAAAUACACUGUACUUCAUCAUGCUACAUAUUAUGAUAAUUACAUGUUCAUUGAUUUUUUUCUGACUGUGGGUCUUGAAGAAGCAACUAAUGAAGACAACAUGGAAAGCAGAGAAGAAAAUAUGCUACGUUUCAAGAGGUGGAUCAAACUGCAAAAUCAUGAUGAAGAUACGGCUUUAACCCAGGCGACUUACUACCGUAAUCUUCAUAUAGUGAAAAGGUUAAUUGAAGUAGACCGUGAGUACAAGCUAGGCUUAGCGGGGAUAAUCGGUCGUGACAGUCAGACAGCUUUACAAUUGGCUGUGAAAUAUCAAGACCAUGACAUCAUAAAACUGCUGACUGAUGAGGGAGAUCCAUACUCUGGUUACAUUCCAUAUUUGAUUGCCACGGAUCUGUUUGAUCACGUAAAGAAAGGCGAUGUGGAUUUUAUAAAGACGGUUGGACAAGAAGUACUCCUGAAUUCUAGAGACAAAGAAAGAAUGUCAGCUCUUUGUAUAGCUACAAGAAACAAUCAAUUAGAUUGUUGUAAAGAGAUACUCAAAAGAUGCCCUUCACUUCUCUACCAUCAAAACAAUUCCAAAGACACUGUACUUCAUCGUGCUGCAUAUUACGGGGAUGAAAUUUACAGAUUGGUCGAUUUUUUUCUUGGUGUUGGCAUUCAUGCAACAACAAAUGAAGACAACAUUGAAAGCAAUGGAGAAACUAUGUUACAUUUUGAGAAGUGGAUCAAGUUGCAAAAUGAAAGUACAGAUACGGCUUUAACCCUUGCAGCCUACUACCGCCAUCUUCAUAUAGUUAAAAGGUUCAUUGAAGUAGACCGCGAGUACAAACUAGGCCUUUCUGGGAUAGCUGGUUAUAAGGCUAUGACGGCUUUGCAAUGGGCUGUGGAAAAUCAAGACCAUGAGAUGAUAAAACUGCUGACUGACGAGGGAGAUCCUUACUCUGAUUACAUUCCACAUUCGAUUGCCAUGAAUCUGUUUGAGCAUGUAAAGAAAGGAGAUUUGGAUUAUGUAAAGACUGUUAGAUCAGAUAUACUCCUGAAGUCCAGAGACGAAGAAAGAAGGUCAGUUCUUUGUGUAGCUACAAGAUACAACCAAUUUGAUUGCUCCGAAGAGAUACUCAAAAGGUGCCCUUCACUUCUCUACCAUCAAAACAAUACCAAAGACACUGUCCUUCAUCAUGCUACAUAUUAUAUGAAUGUAUCUUACAGAUUGGUCAAUUUAUUUGUUGGUGUUGGUCUUGAUGCGGCAACAAUCGAAGGCAACGUCGAAACCAAAGCAGAAAAUAUGCAGCGUUUCAAGAAUUGGAUCAAAUUGCAAAAUCACAGAGAAGAUACGGCUUUAACCCAAGCUGUCUCCAACAGCAAUCAUGAUAUAGUAAAAAGUUUUCUCGAAGUAGACCGCCAGUACAAGCUCGGCCUAUCAGAGAUAGCCGGUUACGACAAAAAGACACCUUUGCAACUGGCUUUGGAGAAUGAAGACCAGGAGAUGAUACAACUGUUGACUGAAGGAACAUCUCUUGAAGGAAACAAUAGUGACUCUGCAGGUAACAGUUCAUAUUAUCCUAAUAUCCAAUUAUAAUUACAAUCCAUUGAUUAUUUCCUUCUUAGAAUUUGUGUUUAAACUUAGAUAAUCGCAAUCAUUUACAAUAUUUUGGUGUGGAAAAGUUAUGUUUUACGUUUUAAGUAAAAAGUUUAAUAGUUUUAAUACAACUGCCUUGGUGAUUGUUUGACAGGCCAAAAGGAUGUGACUGAUAAAGCAAAUCCUAGCUCAGAAUCAAUUACAAGGUUAUUAAGCCAACUAGCAAGUGAGAAACCGCAACAAUAUUCACAUGCUCAGCUUAAGAGUUUCAUGACAGAGGCCCCUGUUCCAAUAGGUUCUGGAGGGUUUGGAAAUGUCUACAAAGGUCGAUUUCCUAAUGGAGUGCCGGUAGCAAUCAAGAUUUUGAAAAACACUAAGGUGGAUAUUAUGGAGAAACAAUUUGAGGCUGAAGUUAGCACGAUGGGCAGAACGUACCAUCGAAACCUAAUUAAAUUAUAUGGUUAUUGCUAUGAAGCCAACACAAAAGCUCUUAUCUAUGAAUACAUGGAGAAUGGAUCUUUAGAUACAAUUCUGUUUAAGAAGAAGCUUGAUCUAAAGUGGGAGAAGUUGUAUACUAUCGCAAUAGAGAUAGCACGGGGGAUCUCUUAUUUGCAUGAGAGUUGUGAUCCACAAAUAAUUCACCAUGACAUAAAGCCAGCCAAUGUGCUCCUUGAUUCAAACCUUUCUCCUAAAGUUAUAGAUUUUGGAUUGGCUAGGCUUAAUCGGGAAAAGAGUCAAUUCGCACAAACCGGAGUCAGAGGAACCCGUGGUUAUGUUGCUCCAGAGAUAACUCAGGUAGAACUGGGAAAAAUAAGCUACAGAUGUGAUGUUUUUAGCUAUGGGAUGAUGUUGUUUGACAUUCUGGGGAGCAAGAGAACUAAGGAGGACAAAGGGUGGUUACCAGGACAAGUUUGGGAAAAGUUUCGCGAAAAACAAUUAGGCAAUUUUCUGAAGGAUUGUGGUAUUAAAGGUAAGGAUAAAUUAAAUGCAAGGAUAUUGUCUAGAGUUGCAUUAAUGUGUGCUGAAUACAACCCUAAGAAUAGACCAUCCAUGAGCACAGUGGUGAAGAUGCUUGAGGGUGAAAUAAAACCUAGGAAACCUGUUGACCCUUUUCCAUUUUAUGACUCUUCAAGUGACAGUAGCACAACAUGGGAUUCCAGGAACUAGGCAUUAUAUUGCCGGCUUGCAGCCACCCCCAUGGUGUUUUUCACCCUUCUGAUGAGUGGUAUGUUCUAGCUGUGAGAUUUGAUCUUUUGAAAUCAACUGUUGGUUGCACUUUGCAUGUAAGACACAGUAAAGUAUGAAAAACUUGAGUUCAAC
rnacentral:lncRNA from 1 species